rnacentral:rRNA from 2 species
GCCGCGUGCAGGAAGACGGUCCUAUGGAUUGUAAACUGCUUUUAUAUAGGAAGAAACCGUUCCACGUGUGGAACUCUGACGGUACUAUAUGAAUAAGCACCGGCUAACUCCGUGCCAGCAGCCGCGGUAAUACGA